rnacentral:rRNA from 1 species
AAUUUGAAAUCUGGCGCAAGCCCGAGUUGUAAUUUGUAGAGGAUGCUUCUAAGCACCGGUCGGUCUAAGUUCCUUGGAACAGGACGUCAUAGAGGGUGAGAAUCCCGUAUGUGAUCGACUAGGACUUUCUACGUAGCUCCUUCGACGAGUCGAGUUGUUUGGGAAUGCAGCUCUAAAUGGGAGGUAAAUUUCUUCUAAAGCUAAAUACCGGCCAGAGACCGAUAGCGCACAAGUAGAGUGAUCGAAAGAUGAAAAGCACUUUGGAAAGAGAGUUAAAAAGCACGUGAAAUUGUUGAAAGGGAAGCGCUUGCGACCAGACUUGUCGGUGGUGUUCCGCCGGUCUUCUGACCGGUCUACUCGCCAUCGGCAGGCCAGCAUCAUCUGGGGCCGCCGGAUAAAGGUUUUGGGAAUGUAGCUCCCUUCGGGGAGUGUUAUAGCCCUUUACACAAUACGGCGCGUCCCGGGUGAGGUCCGCGUCUCGGCAAGGAUGCUGGCGUAAUGGUUGUAAGCGGCCCGUCUUGAAACACGGACCAAGGAGUCGAUUAUCUAUGCGAGUGUUCGGGCGUCAAACCCCUACGCGUAAUGAAAGUGAACGGAGGUGGGAACCGCAAGGUGCACCAUCGACCGAUCCGGAUGUCUUCGGAUGGAUUUGAGUAAGAGCAUAGCUAAUCGGACCCGAAAGAUGGUGAACUAUGCCUGAAUAGGGUGAAGCCAGAGGAAACUCUGGUGGAGGCUCGCAGCGGUUCUGACGUGCAAAUCGAUCGUCAAAUUUGGGUAUAGGGGCGAAAGACUAAUCGAACCAUUAACUACUAGGUGGUUAACCCGUCCAUCGGGCGGAGGCGGCAUCGUCCGUCGACACCGUCAAAUUGCGGGGAACGGCUUACGGCUCUUGUUGACCGUUGCGGCUUAGAAAUGGGCCAGCAACAAGGCGUGUCGAGCGGCACGCCGUACGGUUGACGAGGGAUUGCCUAAUCUGCAGCCAGGUCCGUCAGUCAGCAAUGACCCGGACAGGAGUUCACA